rnacentral:rRNA from 1 species
AGUGAACGCUGGCGGUAGGCCUAACACAUGCAAGUCGAACGGCAGCACAGUAAGAGCUUGCUCUUACGGGUGGCGAGUGGCGGACGGGUGAGGAAUACAUCGGAAUCUACUUUUUCGUGGGGGAUAACGUAGGGAAACUUACGCUAAUACCGCAUACGACCUACGGGUGAAAGCAGGGGAUCUUCGGACCUUGCGCGAUUGAAUGAGCCGAUGUCGGAUUAGCUAGUUGGCGGGGUAAAGGCCCACCAAGGCGACGACCCGUAGCUGGUCUGAGAGGAUGAUCAGCCACACUGGAACUGAGACACGGUCCAGACUCCUACGGGAGGCAGCAGUGGGGAAUAUUGGACAAUGGGCGCAAGCCUGAUCCAGCCAUACCGCGUGGGUGAAGAAGGCCUUCGGGUUGUAAAGCCCUUUUGUUGGGAAAGAAAAGCAGCAGGUUAAUACCCCGCUGUUCUGACGGUACCCAAAGAAUAAGCACCGGCGAACUUCGU